rnacentral:lncRNA from 1 species
UUUAGAGUAGCCAGGCUCUCAGAGCAUUUCCUGUUGCUCUUGCAGGUUAUCAAGGCCACCCCUUUGGAAAUACAGCUGUCCUUUUGCUUAGUGAGAGCAAACAGCAGGGAGAUCGCUUAGCAGCAUGCCGGCAGGUCACAGCUUUGUCAAUUCACCUUCUCACACUGCAAAGCAGGAGGGCCUGGAGCUAAAUCCCAACAGAUGCCAGAUACCUCAUAUUAUGAAUAUGAUGUUAGUGUCCGCUCCUGGAAGGUGUAGGACCCAAGAAAUAGGCUCACACCGCUGGUCGCAAUGGAAAACUUUAUUGAAUCCGCCUUGCCAAGAUGACUGCAAAAGCUUUUACUGACUCUCUUCCGCUUUUCCCCUCAGUAUAUGGGGUUGUUGCCUCCCCCCUCCUCCUUCUCCAUCCACACCUCCCUUUCCUUUGGUCCUUUCCCACGUUUGAAGACCAGACCCUGUCAUAAAUCAGCCUAUCCUGCCAAAUGGUCUCCUUCCUCUGUCCUCUUGUAGUCAGGUUGCGAAAAGACCAGCUUUGAUGAUGCUGUUCUUUGUUGCACCCUGACAUGACUCCCCCCUUCGGACGACGACCCUGCGGGGAGAGACAAAGUUCCGACAAUCUAAGAACAACAGCAGCAGAAUAAGCCAGGAGAAGGAAAGAAGAAGGAGAGAGAGAGUCCAACCCCCCCCCCCCUUUUCGGGAUCAUGGUCCAGGUUUAUGGGGAAACUUUGUGUGAAACUGUUUUCUCAACUUCGGGGCUUUAACAUGCUCUGCUGCUACCCAUUCCGGGUGUAAGGUCUGUGAAGACCAUUGGACCAAGUAGUACAGUUUCCCCCGAGACUUCUUGGAGUCCAGGAUAUCCUUGAUUUCAAAAUGGGUGUGUGCCCCCACCAUAAUGGGGACCGGAUCUGCCCCCGGUUUACUCCAUCUGUGAGUGUUUGGCGCUGGUUUCAGCAGGCUAACGUGAAACACUGGGUGCACCUUGCGCCAUCUAUGAGGCAAUUGUAACCGUACUGUCACUGGGUUCACAACGGCCGAAAUGGGAAAGGGACCAACAUA